UACGAAGGGGGCUAGCGUUGCUCGGAAUUACUGGGCGUAAAGGGCGCGUAGGCGGAUGUUUAAGUCGGGGGUGAAAGCCCGGGGCUCAACCCCGGAAUUGCCUUCGAUACUGGACAUCUUGAGUACGGGAGAGGUGAGUGGAACUCCGAGUGUAGAGGUGAAAUUCGUAGAUAUUCGGAAGAACACCAGUGGCGAAGGCGACUCACUGGCCCGUUACUGACGCUGAGGUGCGAAAGCGUGGGGAGCAAACAGG
rnacentral:rRNA from 1 species